UUGAACGCUGGCGGCAUGCUUUACACAUGCAAGUCGAACGGUAACAGGUCUUCGGAUGCUGACGAGUGGCGAACGGGUGAGUAAUGCAUCGGAACGUGCCCAGUCGUGGGGGAUAACGCAGCGAAAGCUGUGCUAAUACCGCAUACGAUCUAUGGAUGAAAGCGGGGGAUCGCAAGACCUCGCGCGAUUGGAGCGGCCGAUGUCAGAUUAGCUAGUUGGUGGGGUAAAGGCCUACCAAGGCGACGAUCUGUAGCUGGUCUGAGGGGACGACCAGCCACACUGGGACUGAGACACGGCCCAGACUCCUACGGGAGGCAGCAGUGGGGAAUUUUGGACAAUGGGGGCAACCCUGAUCCAGCCAUUCCGCGUGAGUGAAGAAGGCCUUCGGGUUGUAAAGCUCUUUCAGCAGGAACGAAACGGCGAGCUCUAACAUAGCUCGUUAAUGACGGUACCUGAAGAAGAAGCACCGGCUAACUACGU
rnacentral:rRNA from 1 species